AAGACUAUAGACCUGCGGAGUACCUGCGGAGGGAUCAUUACCAGUAGGAUUGCGAGACGCGCGAGGGGGGUAGGGCAACCUAACUCACCCGACCAGUCGGACCCGUGCCCACAUACUGCGGGGAGCCUUGCGGCUCUCUCGAGGGGGGCGCGGCGGCUCGUCCGCCCGCCUGUAGACGGGGCCUUCCCUUUAGGUGGGGCUUCCCUCCGCCGUUCUUGCCUUCCACAACCUUCACCCUUG
rnacentral:misc_RNA from 1 species